rnacentral:rRNA from 1 species
UACGGAAGGUCCGGGCGUUAUCCGGAUUUACUGGGUGUAAAGGGAGCGUAGACGGUGUGGCAAGUCUGAUGUGAAAGGCAUGGGCUCAACCCCGGGACGGCUUUUGAAACUGCCCUGCUUGAUUUCAGGAGAGGUAAGCGGAAUUCCUAGUGUAGCGGUGAAAUGCGUAGAUAUUAGGAGGAACACCAGUGGCGAAGGCGGCUUACUGGACUGACAAUGACGCUGAGGCUCGAAAGCGUGGGGAGCAAACAGG